rnacentral:rRNA from 1 species
GUGUCAGCAGCCGCGGUAAGACAGAGGUGGCGAGCGUUGUUCGGAAUUACUGGGCUUAAAGGGCGAGUAGGCGGUGGAGCAAGUCUGAGGUGGAAUCCUACGGCUUAACCGUAGAACUGCCUUAGAAACUGUUUUACUUGAGUCAGUGAGGGGAGGGCGGAAUUCCUGGUGUAGCGGUGAAAUGCGUAGAUAUCAGGAGGAAGGCCUGUGGCGAAAGUGGCCCUCUGGCACUGUACUGACGCUGAGGCGCGAAAGCGUGGGGAGCAAACAGGAUUAGAAACCCUUGUAGUCC